UUAUCAGAUAGUUAUAAUUUUUGCAUAUUUGAUACAGGUUUCAGGUUCGAAUUUUUGAAAUAAAAAAGCUUUUAAUAGGGAACAUCAUAUCUUUUUAUUCGAUUUAUUUGGUGCAAAUUUAAAUUAGUUUAGUUAAUGAAUUAUAAAUACAGAAUGAUUAAAUAAAAAACUCAAUGAGGGGACUGAUAUGGGGUGGAGGGGAUAACAAAGUCAAAAGGGAAAUAGUGGGUUUGAUGAUCAGUUGAUUACUUUAUGACCUCGAGAGUGCCAACCUCUCUCCUCCAUAUAUAGUGUAUAUUAAAAUUUGGGAAAAGGUCUUUGGAUUCUUAUGAUAUGAAUGAUUUAUAUUUUCAAAGGCUUUCCUUUUCUCUAUGAUUAUAAUAUAAAAUGUGUAGUGGGCAUUUGACAAAUUUUAAAGUGUCGUCAUUAUUCAUUAAAUAAGAAGAUUGUUUCUAGAUGGAGUAUAUGGGUCUCAUGUGGCUAGGGUUUGUGAAGACUUGUGACAUGAGCCUUCCCUAGAUGAUAACUUGGUCAAUUGGUCUUUGUUUUUCUAGCCUUUUGUCUGGUCAAAACGUGAGAGCUUCCUUUUUGAUAGUAUUUGGGAUCCUAUGCAACAGUUUUGGAAUUAUUUAGGACUUUUGAUAUUUAGAUUUUUUAAAAUUAUCUGACAUAUGAAAGCAACUAAUUCGACUAAUAUAAAAUGUAGAUUCAUGUUGAGUAAGUCCACUGAAGGAGUAAAGCAUUUUGUUGAAAUGUUGUCUAUUCUCAUGGAUCUAAUCAGAGAUCUCAUAUAAAAGCGUGAAUAUUGAUCUCAAGAAUCACACCACACUCCUCGAUCAGUAGUACUUUGAUCCAGAUUUCUACAAGUACUACUACCUCUCUUACUAUAACUCUCUUCUUUCUUUGAUACGAAUUAAAGAAAGCAAGCUUGCGAGAAUUGUACAUCAUACAAAAGAGGGGAACAUAGCCGCUAAGUAAGUUAUCGGGAAGGAGUUAGUGCAAGUUCUGUUUAAUGCAUUUUAGUCCUUAAUUAGUAUUUAUUAAUUCCUAGUACUUAUAAUUAUACAUUAGCCCCUCAAUAUUUCUCUUAUCUUAUUCCGAGAAGCUCCAGAAGUUAGUUAUACUCUGACAAGGGAGAAUAUCUUGGUAGAGUUGACACUUCUUUUGUACACUGUAAUCAUUCCAUUCUGAAUUUUAUCAAUCAAAUUAUUACCCUGGUUAUCUCUUAGCGUAGGUUCGCAGUUGUUGAUAUAAUCUUCUUCCUGAUACAAAUUUGUGCAUCUACAACAGUGGUAUCAGUGCUCUUUCUUGGCUAUGCAAAUUUAGGGUUUCGAAAUGACACAAAUGAUGAAUCUACUGCAAAGAAUAUCCAUGUAGAGGACGAACUUCACCAUCAGCCAAAAUCAACUCGAGGCGAAUCAUGAACAGGCUUUUCAAAAUCUAUAUCAAGCUCUACGAAGACUUUAAAAAGCUGUCAAUGGAGGAUAACAACCAGGGAUAAAGAUUUGGCAAUUAGUGGAGGUGAGAUGUAUUCUCCUUCUGAUAGGUCAUUCAAAUUUGUAGAUCUAGCUACCUCCUUUCCUAUAACACAUAAAGCUCAAGUUUCUGUUAACAACCAUGACCUUAAUCCACAAGGCUAAGUCAGUACUCCAAUACAAAACCUUCAGUCACCUGUGUACAAAAUUUUCAAAACCCUCGGGUCCAAGGUACUUAAAUCCAAAUUAAACAAACCCGGUGCAAACCUCCAUGUCUCAGCCAUACAAUUUCCAUAUACCAUAUAUUCAGGGCAUGCCGUUACAAAAUGUCCAAUUUUAUCCACAGGUCUUACCCUUCGGUAUGCAACCCCUCACAAAUCCAAUAUAUUCAGAAUAUCCAAUAUUCUUCUGUCUAGUACACCCAACAUAAUCACGUUCCUCCAUCUUUAUCCCAUCAAGCCCUUUACACACCAUCCCAUAUACCUAACUAGAAUCCACCAGCUAAUCCAUAGUUCCAUACUCCAAAGAAUAUCAGUAAUAUCUCAUUUUCAUCCCCAUCAUUUACCAAGCAUAUCGAGAUUGAGUUUCUCAAAUUUAAUGGUGAGGACUAAAGAACAUGGUUGUACAAGGUAGAUCAUUUUUCUCUGUAGAAGAUAUGCCUAUCCACCAGAGAUCGAAGCUGAUAGCACUCAACUUUGCAGGAGAUGCAUCAUAAUGGAACUAAGGGU